rnacentral:pre_miRNA from 1 species
ACGUACUUCUUUAUAUGCCCAUAUGAGAGCUCGCUGCUAUGGAAUGUAAAGAAGUAUGUAU